GACGAACGCUGGCGGCGUGCUUAACACAUGCAAGUCGAAGGCACCCAGCAAUGGGUGACUGGCGAACGGGUGCGUAACACGUGAGCGACCUACCCUGGUGUGGGGGAUAGCCGGCCCAACGGCCGGGUAAUACCGCAUGCGCUGUGGUCUUCGCCUGGAGACUUCAGCAAAGCCUUCGGGCGCACUGGGAGGGGCUCGCGGCCUAUCAGCUAGUUGGCGGGGUAAUGGCCCACCAAGGCGGCGACGGGUAGCUGGUCUGAGAGGAUGGCCAGCCACAUUGGGACUGAGAGACGGCCCAGACUCCUACGGGAGGCAGCAGUGGGGAAUCUUGCGCAAUGGGCGAAAGCCUGACGCAGCGACGCCGCGUGCGGGAGGACGGCCUUCGGGUCGUAAACCGCUGUUGCCCGGGACGAAGGCCCCUUUCGAGGGGAUUGACGGUACCGGGUGAGGAAGCACCGGCUAACUCCGUGCCAGCAGCCGCGGUAAUACGGAGGGUGCGAGCGUUGUCCGGAAUCACUGGGCGUAAAGGGCGCGUAGGCGGCGCGACAAGGCGGCGGUGAAAGUCCGGGGCUCAACCCCGGAUCGGCCGUGGCGACUGUCGUGCUCGAGCACAGUAGAGGCGGGUGGAAUUCCGGGUGUAGCGGUGGAAUGCGUAGAGAUCCGGAAGAACACCGGUGGCGAAGGCGGCCCGCUGGGCUGUGGCUGACGCUGAGGCGCGACAGCGUGGGAGCAAACAGGAUUAGA
rnacentral:rRNA from 1 species